rfam:Picea glauca, whole genome shotgun sequence.
AUGUAAUUCAAUUUAUACAACAUUAAUGCAUCAUAUCCCAUUAGAACUCUAUAGUUAAGUGUGCUUGGGUUAGAGUAGUAUUAGGAUGGGUGACCUCUGAGGAAAUCCUAGUGUUUUACAUG